rnacentral:tRNA from 1 species
UCAGGGUAUAGCUAAAACCCGUAUAGCAUCUCCCUUACACCGAGAAGUCAUUCGUGCAACCCGGAUUGCCCUGAA